rnacentral:rRNA from 1 species
GAUGAACGCUGGCGGCGUGCAUAACACAUUCAAGUCGAACGGAGUUAUUAUCUUAGAUCCCUUCGGGGUGACGAGGUUUUAACUUAGUGGCGGACGGGUGAGUAACGCGUGAGCAACCUGCCCUUGUGUGGGGGAUAACGUUUGGAAACGAACGCUAAUACCGCAUAACGUGUCGAGAUCGCAUGGUCAUGACACCAAAGAUUUAUUGCGCAAGGAUGGGCUCGCGUCUGAUUAGAUAGUUGGUGAGGUAACGGCUCACCAAGUCGACGAUCAGUAGCCGGACUGAGAGGUUGAACGGCCACAUUGGAACUGAGAUACGGUCCAGACUCCUACGGGAGCAGCAGUGGGGAAUAUUGGGCAAUGGGCGAAAGCCUGACCCAGCGACGCCGCGUGAAGGAAGAAGGUCUUACGGAUUGGUAAACUUCUUUUAUCUAGGACGAAAACUGAACGGUACCUGAUGAAUAAGCCAACGGCUAACUACGUGCCAGCAGCCGC